UGCUUACCAUGCAAGUCGAACGGAAAGGCCCUGCUUGCAGGGUACUCGAGUGGCGAACGGGUGAGUAACACGUGGGUGAUCUGCCCUGCACUUCGGGAUAAGCCUGGGAAACUGGGUCUAAUACCGGAUAGGACCAUCGUUUAGUGUCGGUGGUGGAAAGUUUUUCGGUGCAGGAUGAGCCCGCGGCCUAUCAGCUUGUUGGUGGGGUAAUGGCCUACCAAGGCGUCGACGGGUAGCCGGCCUGAGAGGGUGGACGGCCACAUUGGGACUGAGACACGGCCCAGACUCCUACGGGAGGCAGCAGUGGGGAAUAUUGCACAAUGGGCGCAAGCCUGAUGCAGCGACGCCGCGUGGGGGAUGAAGGCCUUCGGGUUGUAAACUCCUUUCAGCAGGGACGAAGCUUUUGUGACGGUACCUGCAGAAGAAGCACCGGCUAACUACGUGCCAGCAGCCGCGGUAAUACGUAGGGUGCGAGCGUUGUCCGGAAUUACUGGGCGUAAAGAGCUCGUAGGUGGUUUGUCGCGUCGUCUGUGAAAUUCCGGGGCUUAACUCCGGGCGUGCAGGCGAUACGGGCAUAACUUGAGUGCUGUAGGGGAGACUGGAAUUCCUGGUGUAGCGGUGAAAUGCGCAGAUAUCAGGAGGAACACCGAUGGCGAAGGCAGGUCUCUGGGCAGUUACUGACGCUGAGGAGCGAAAGCAUGGGUAGCGAACAGGAUUAGAUACCCUGGUAGUCCAUGCCGUAAACGGUGGGCGCUAGGUGUGGGGGUCUU
rnacentral:rRNA from 1 species